rnacentral:lncRNA from 1 species
AAAUGCUCAUUUCACAAACUUGCUUCGGAAUUGAAACCAUGAUUCACCUUAUGCUAAACUCACAGAUGUGAGGAGAAUGAUGUGCCCACACUUGUUUAUGCCUUCAAAUCUAAUUACAAAAUAAUUUUCAUCAUGCAGCUGAUCUACUGGGACUACCUCUGGUACCUGCAUACUCUGAAGCUUCAACCGAUGAUAUGCUCCAUGGUGUUAAUUAUGCUUCUGCUGCAGCUGGAAUUCUUGAUAUCACAGGAAGAAACUUUGUGAGCAACAAACAACAACAAUGUUACCUACUUAUCAACUAAUGACAAGCUAACAAUGAGAAUUUCAUUAGUAUCAUUUUCAAUGUUUUGUUGUUAGGUUGGUAGGAUACCAUUCAACAGACAGCUUGAGAACUUUGAGCAUUCGCUGACUCAAAUCAGAGCACGAGUCGGAGCAGAGAAUCUAGCACAACAGCUAUCAAGGUGCAUCUUCUUUGUUGGAAUGGGCAGCAAUGACUACUUGAACAACUACCUAAUGCCCAACUAUCCGACAAAGAAUCAAUAUAAUGGUCCACAAUUCGCGGAUCUCUUGGUUCAGCAGUACACAGCCCAACUCACUGUAAGAUCAUAAAUUUUUUUAUAAUACCUCUGUUCUUGUUUAAGAAAAAUGGAAAAGGUCUUGAUCAAAUUUUUUAUGGCGUUUUUGCUGCUGCAGAGACUUUACACUCUUGGAGCGCGGAAGGUUAUCAUAGCAGGGCUUGGACUAAUGGGUUGUAUACCGAGCAUUCUUUCACAGAGUGCAAACGAUCAGUGCUCAGAGGAUGUGAACCAAUUAGUUUUACCUUUCAAUGCCAACACCAAGACAAUGAUCAAUAAUUUGAACACCAAUCUUCCCGGUGCAAGAAUAACCUUCAUCGACAUUCACAACAUGAUCCAAGACAUCCUCGCCAACCCUGGAUCCUAUGGUAAAUUUCCCUCAGCCUAACACGUUUAAAUCUAUCAAUGUGCUAGCAAGGGUCUUGGAAGACUAUGUAUAACACCGUUGUUACAUGACUAUGCAGGAUUCACGGUUCUAGACCGCGGGUGCUGUGGUAUAGGCAAGAACAAUGGACAGAUUACAUGCCUCCCCAUGCAGCAGCCGUGCUCAAACAGGGAUCAAUACGUGUUCUGGGAUGCAUUCCAUCCAACAGAAGCGGUGAAUGUACUAAUGGCAAGGAAGGCUUUCAAUGGGAAUCAAGAUGUUGUUUCUCCCAUCAACAUCCAGCAGCUUGCCGAUCUCUGACAGAUUUGGAGACACCAGAGAAAUCGCGCAAUGUGCAGCCUGUGCUGCUAUUAUAAUUUCAGCUACUAAUAUUUCCAGAAUUUGGAGGUUUUUGUAGACAGAUUUCGCAUUUGUAGUGUUUUCUAUUAUGUUAAAUGUUGUUUUUGACAAGAUUGCCUGGGUAUCAUAGGAUGGAAUGAUCCUGACAUAUAUACGAGACAAAUAUUAAUUUUCCUGAUAUGAGAUAAUUCUCUAUAAGGGGAAGGCAUUAAAUCUACAAGUUCGAUCUUAACAUGAAUCAAUUUACAAGGUUGAAACACUAUAACUCUUUGUAUGUUCUUCAAAUAUGUGUCAAUUUUUCCACAUAAUAUUCACACAUUAGAUUAAUUUCAGCUAAAAAAUUUGCAACCCCGGUGGUACUCUUGACAUGGUUUAUUUAUGAACUCAAAAUCCAAACUUGUAGAUCGAAUUUUCAAACAGCACGGGGAGCACAAGGUUACUUUCCCGGAGGUUCACAAACACACCAACCUUCCCUUGGUUUCUGUCCCCCUAAGGCCAUCUUUUAACAUAUUCAAUGAAGUACUGGUUUUUGUAGUGUAUUCAUGGACACCAAAAACCAAUUCUUGAUGGCGAUUUUUCAUUGGUCUAAUAAUAUAUACAAACAAAUCUCUGCAAAUUAAAAUCUAUCAUCUAAAUCAAAAAAAAUUACUCGUAUGUAUCAAUAUGCACAGACUAAAAGAUCCAUUAAAAGUUUUUUUUUAUGUUACAUCGUACUUGUAAUCUCCAAUGACUCAUUUAAUUAAUCAAAUAUAAAUAUAUCUUUUUUCCUGAAUCAAUUAUGUCUUUUUAUUUAAAAUAAUCAAUCUAUCAGCCAUAUAACCGAAAUCCUUAAAAAGCAAUGCUAGUUUACCAACUAUCAGGUAUUAGAUCAAGUUGAAGAACUUUCUUAAAUUAAACGAUAGUUCCCACUAUCUUAUGCUUCCUAGAUUUUUAUCAAUAGUAAGGGUCCUUUUCCCUGACACCGUGUGUCAGGGAAUAUUUAACCAACACAUUGCUUCCCAGCUGUUGGAUCGUUAAUUCAAUGGUCGAGAUAAAAAGAAAAUUUUAAUUGAUCCGUUGGUUUUUUACACGGAUUGACUGACCGGACCUGCUUUCCGUGGUUAUUAUACGCGGUACGGGUAUCUAGAUCCGCUGAAAAGAAACACGGACGGACGGAUAUUAUCACUCAGAUUCAACCAUUGAUUUAUCAUCUUUUCGCUGAUUUAAGCGAACCCAGAUCAAAAAGAUUAAAGCUUUGAUUACAAACCUGUAAAUGAAGAUGUCUUUGUUAUCACCGAGUGCUUUUCUUUGAGUAAUACACAUGCCUUGAGAUGAAUUGGUUGGGUUGGUUAUGGUUGAUUUGGGUGGAGAUCCAGUAAAAUCAGCCUUCAUGUCAGCAAGAGAAACAAGACCAUCGUCUUCUUCAACGAAACAAGGCCUUCUUGAGGUUACAGUUAAGUCCAUUCGGCGAGAGAGACCGAGAAAGAGACGCCGGCGAGAGAGACCGAGAAAGAGAUGCCGGCGGGAAUGAGGGAAAGGACAGUUUAGAGAGUGGGGUUUAUCAGCACGUCCGCGUUUUUUUUCAGCGGAUCAAGAAACCUAUACCACGUAAAAUAACCACGGAAAGCAAGCCCAACCCACUCAAUCCGCGUAAAAA